CCCUAACCCUUGGACACACCCUCUCAUCUCCAGCCUCCUCUCCCCACCGCCAUCUGCCUCCCUCCUCCAUUCAACCUCACCGUCGUUUCUCCUCCCCGAACAACAGCAUCACCUCCGACCUCCGUUUCUCCUCCCGACGCUCUCCCUUAACCAUCUCUUUGUCCACCUGCAACUACGAGACACCCGACGGCGGAGGCGAGAUUGUACUGCCGUCCAUGGCCUCGUUGCCGCCGGAUCCGGCCUCCCCUUACCUCGCUGCUGAUCCAGCCAUCCCCUGCCUCGCUGCGGCCGGAUCCAGCCUCACUGCAGCUCGUCGACCUUCCCUCUCCCGUGGAUUCAUUCCGCUCCCCUAACGACGCGCCGGAUCCGUGCCCGCCUCCUCAGACGCAGUGGUACAUGAGCUCCAAGGAGCAGCAGGUCGGUCGCCGUUGAGGACCGCCCGUCUGACAGCAGAGCAGAGUAUAGGGCUGUAGCUUUUCUCCACUCCCAUGUCCUCGGCAGCAUCUUCUCUUACCAACAGUAUUUCACGGCUAUGGUCCUCUGAUCCCAUCCCAUGAUUUUCGUGUUUUAUCCUAAUGAAGUACGUUGCAGGACGAUGUGGAUAAUGGGUGGUUGGUUGGUUGCUGCAAGGGUGGAACGGCCGAGUAUUCAUAGUAGAAGGAGGAAUGUUGUACAUGCGAGGGCGCCAAAAUGAUUUGUUGUAAUCGAGCAUUAAGAAGCGCAACGUCAGUCUUAGGCAGCCAUCCUUGCAAGUCUUGCUACCAAGAUAUGCUAAUAAUAUAUAUCAACUAAGACCAUUCGAAUUCUAUGUCUGAUGUACUUUGUCUCUGUGUACUUUGUCUGAUGGGCUGAAUCAACUGGAUGUAUAUAUUGGUUGAAUGCAUGUAUUGGGCUAAAAGCGGGAGAGGCCCAAACAUUAUAGUACUA